GGAUCUCCUGCCUUGGUCUCCGUGAUCAACAAGCCCCCUGAUGUCAGAUAUCUUCUGCCUGCGUUUGACUUCUUUUUCCACCUUCCUCUGGAGCAUCAUAAUUUGAGCCUUUUGGUUUCAGAUAGUUUGCUGGCCAGAGUUUUCAUGUACCUUUAUCAAAGUGACAAUCCGAUUACUCA